AUUCUGCAGAUAUAACUUGAUGACCCUGGAUGCAAAGAGUUAACAGAGAUAUGGCAUGAACAUGUAUUAGAAAAAUGAUUCACACACAAUAGAAAAAAUAAGUAAGACCAGGAUUGGGUGGCUUUGGAGAAUGUAAUUUCAGCUUGAAUAUGAAGAUGCUUGUAGAACAGUGUUCCUUCCUCUGAACAUGGCUACAGAAGAACAAAUCAGUUAGUCUGAAGAUGAAAACAAGAAGCUGAUGGUAGACACAUUCUGAACUGGCUAACACAACACUCUGAAACUGGAGGAUAUCAACUGAUAAGAUAUGAAGUUCUCCCUUAGUUUCAAAUACACUGGGUUCAUAAAUUAUUGACAUAAACAAUAGAUGUCCCAUCAAGCUACCAUGAAGAUAGCUAGGUCUGCACAACUCCUCAAGUGUCGACCCCUCCAAGCACAUCCUCCACCUGGAACUGUGAACUGAAUGGAUAAAUGUGUUGGUCAGAAAGUGAACUUAAGUCACCUGACUGAGGUAGUGUUUGUCAGUUUUCUCUGUUGUAAAGUUAUUCUCGUGUUCUCCAUUUCCAUUUCCUUUUUUCCAUAUAGACUUCUCUUUGAAAGGAAGUCAAUAUGUGAAGCCCACACUGAAGGAGUGGGGAGUUAUGAUGCACCUCCCUGACAGCACAGUAUUUACACAAACUAUUUGGAAUACUUUUAUGUGGGAUGUUUGUCCCUUCCCUCCCAUUUAUUUAUGUAUUCAAUCAAUUGUUUAUUGAUAUCAAUUUGAACUCAUGGAUAUUUACUUUAUACUUCAGGUUAUAAUCCAAUACUACUCUACUUGUUUUGUUGCUCAAAUUUUUUCACCUUUGGCCACUGGGAGCACUUUCAGUUGACUCUUGUGUCCCUUUGACAUACUCCCAUCAUUGUGUGUGUGUGUGUGUGUUCUUCACACUUUCUUACUUUUUGACACAAUAAUGUACUCCAGGCUCAUGUUGUAUAUUUCCUGCCCCAGUUCUAGAGUCAACCAUUUCUCUAAGGAACACUGUUCCUUUUGUUAGAAUAGUAUUAAAAACCCAAAUCACAAUGAUAGGUGUGUUUUUUGCUACUGGAUAUCAUUGCUUCUAAGCCUUCUCAGCAGACAGAACAAGGAUAUAUGUGUAUAUACGAACUCAUAUAUAUAUAUAUCUAUAAAUGCUUAUGUAACCAUCUGAUCUCUGUAAAGCUACCGUGAGUACUGAUAUCUUCAACUGUAAUCCACUAUCACAUAAACCAUUCUAGCCUCUUCUUUUUAUUAUUUUUUGUUUGUUUUUAAAAUUUAUUUUUAGUUCAUUUUUUGUUUAUUACAUUUAUCAGUUUCUGUUCUUCCACUUCGAAAAGUAUUCUUGCUUACUUCCAAACUCCCACCCCAACAGUGAGAAAACUGGGUUGCCCCCGACCUUAUAUCCACUUAUUUAAUUGUUCAGUGCCAUUAUGCAUAUAUAGCAGUAUUAGAAUUGUUAACCAAUACUCCUCUGUGAAACAAAUGUAUUAGAGUACUGUACUUCAGAAUAGUUUCUUUUCCCAUUAGUCUUAGACUCCACUAAUUUUCAAAGUUUCUUUGAUCAAUAACUCACCCCCACCUUUUCCUUCAGUGAGGUUGUUUCAUCCAUUUGCAAUACAGUUAGAUUGUCUUGUCAUGUUCUGUAUUUCAUCCUGUAAUCCCCCAACCUCCUAAACAAUUUUUAAAAAUUUACAUACAUUCAUGUUCACUCUUUGUGUUGUAAAGUUCUAUGAGUUUCCACAAAUGCAUGGUGUCAUGUGUCCAUCAUUAUAGUAUGAAACAAAAUAGUUUUAUGGUGUAAAAAUUCCACUCUACCUCACUUAUUUAAUUCUUCCUACCUCAUGCUCCUCCCCUGUUCCUCCCCCUUAUAGUCUGGCAAUCACUUUUUAAAAAUAUUUUCUAUAGAUUUUUAAAAUGACUUAAGCUGCUAUAAAUAUUUACAUACAUCCUAAAUAUCUAGGAGUGUGAUUGCCAGAUAUUAUAGUAAGAUUACAUUUAGCUUUGUAGGAAACUGACACACUGUCUUCCAAAACGGAUGCACUAUUUUUUAUUACCACCAGCAAAGAGUGAGAGUUCCUGUCGCUCUGCAUCCUUGACAGUAAUCUGUAUUGUCAUUUCUUUUAGGAUUUUAGCCAUUGUAAUAGGUGUGCAGGGGUAUGCGUGGUUUCUGACUAGAAUUCCAAUGUAAUUCUUAUUCUUCUAUGGGUAAGGUAUUUGUCCUCUCUUCUAGGUUCUUUCAAGAUUUUCUCUUUGUCUUUGGUUUUCUGAAGUUUGAAUAUGAUAUAUCUAGUUAUACUGAAGUUUUGUUUGUUGCUUUAGUAUUUAUACUGGUUGGUGUUUUUUGAGCUUCCCAGAUCUGUGGUUUGGUGUCUAUCACUAAUUUUGGAAAGUUCUCAGACAUUACUUUACACAUUUCAUUUGCUCUCUUCUUUCUUCUUCUGGUAUUCCAAUCCAUUUGCUACACCUUUUGAGAUCUUCCACAGUUUUUGGAUAUUCUGUUAUGGAUUCUUCAUUCUUUUUAAUUUUGUUCUGUUUUACCUUUGCCUUUCGGUUUGGGAAGUUUCUAUUAUCAUGUCUUCAAGCUUAUUGAUGCUCUUCUUGGCUGUGGUUAGUCUCCUGAUAAGCCCAUCAAAAACAUUCUUCAUUUCUGUCGUAAUUUUUAAAGAUUCUAGCAUUUUCUUUUGGUUCCUUUCUAGAAUUUUCAUCUUUUUACUUACAUUGUCCAUUUUUACUUAAAAACAUUAAUCAAAAUUUUUAAUGUACAAUACAGUAUUGUUAACUGCUAAUUUUAAUGUACAAUACAGUAUUGUUAACAGCAGGCAUGAUGUGCCCACCUGUUCUUGCACGUUGUUUAAUUUUGCCAUUGGAGCCCUUAACAUUAAAUCAUAGUUAUUUUAAAUUCCCUAUCUGGUAAUUCCAAAAUCUAUGUUAUAUCUGAGUCUGGUUCUGAUGCUUGCUUUGUCUAUUCAGACUGUGUUUUUUCCUAGAAUGCUUUGUAUUAUUUUGUUGAGGAUAGAUAUAAUAUAUUGAGUGGUAGGAGCUGAGGUAAAUACUACACUUUAACUUUGAGGUUAUGUAAAUCUGGCCAGAACUUGUGCCAAGUUUAAUGUCUGUUACAGUUGUAGGUGCCAGAGGCUUUAAAUUCCUUUAUUAUCCUUAUUUUUGUUUGUUUUGUUGACUUUGGGCUUCCCUAAGUACCUCUUCUGAGGGAAAAUCUGAAUCUUGCAGUUGUUUCAGUUUUAAUCUACUGUUAUUAUACUGGAGGCCUAUUGCAGUGGUAGUAAGGUAUGAGAGAGGGAACAUAUUCUAUAAUCUGAUGAUUAAAUUUCAGUUUUUGGUGGGCCUGAGUUCCUGGGUGGUGACUGUGUUUCUUAGCCUUUUUACUUCCCUUAGGUGAGACAGUAAUGCCAGAGGGGGCUGGAGUAGGAGAAAUGCCUUGCUGCAAAUGGGCAAAUAUAUUUGUAAAUAAAUAAAUAGCUAUUAUUUGAAACAUGUUAAAUUCUUACUAAAGAUGAAUAAAUUCCCUAGCCAAUACUGAACUAUUUGAAGCUCCUCAACUGUUGUUGGCCCCUGUUUUUCAACCUUUUCCCUGUUCUUAAUAAAGGACAGAAGGGAGAGGGCAAAUUUUGGCACUACUCAGGGUUUGUUUGGUUUGGUGUUGACUCCUCUUCCUUGGUUGAGAAGUUCUGGUACAAUAAAAAGAUCAAGAGAAUGCUUUGUGUAGGUCCUAAUAUUAUCCUAGAUUAAAUCUGAAGAUAGGAUAUGUCAACUGAUAUGCCCCAAACCACAUGGUUAAUCUAUGAUGUCGUGAACUCCAAUCCAAGUUUUACAAUUCCAGAUGGGACGAUCAGCCAUCUUGGCUUGCAGGGGACUGAGGGUUUUCCUGGGACAUAGCUAAUCAAACCAGGAAGGCCCCAGGCAAAACAGGAAAUGCCAGUCACCCUCAUGGGGAAUUAAAAACCCUUACUUAAAACCAAUUUAAAAAGAUAAUAUAAGAUGAUUAAUUUUCCCCUUUGCACUUAUUAUUUGUGUGCUGAUAAUAAAACUUGCUUAGAGCAUUCCUAUAGAUGUAACAUGGCAGAUUACAGGAGGAACAGUUUGCUGGCAAACAGUUUAUACAUUACUUCAUUACUCAUAUCAGCGUCAUCUGAGAUUUCUAUCUGUCUGACUAAACUAAAUAAUAAAACAGACAGAAGCUUCUCUUUUCAUGGGAACUGCAUAAGUGCUAAGCCUAUCUGCCUACUGGCAACCUACGCUUGGGUGGGAGUUUGAUGGCAGCUCUGAGUAAAUCUUUCUCUACUUGAGAUUUUAGCACCAGAAUCAGGAGUGGGAGGAAACAGGAUGGGGCUGAAGGGAAAGAUCUUUGCAUAGCCAGACUUGGGAACAGCUCAUCCUGUCUCUACUGUAACCUCCACUGCAACUGGAUUGUGUUUUCCUGAAUGUAGUAAUGGAUUGAGGUCACUGACAUGUUCUAGCACCAAAGACUACUUAAUCAUCAAAAAGCUUAUAUUCCCAGGCACCUCAAGAGGGGUCUGGGAGUGGUAUUAAGGGUAGAGCUUCUGGCUAUCCUAAGCUGGUUAUGUGAGCCAGGUGCUCUGAUAUGGGACACCAUCAUCACCACAAUUGUGGACCUGUGUGCCCCAGUUCUUACAACUGGGAUUAAAGCCUCAAUCCCACUACCCCAGUUACAGUUAUUGUAAUCACCUUGUCUCUUAUUUUCCUCCAACCUGGGACUGAGGCAUAGUGUUUUUCCAGGCAGUUCCCUCUUCAAAGGACAAAAAUCUUGCCAGCGACCCCCACAAAAUUGCUUAGGACCCUGUGUACAAGGACUGAUACUACCUAUCACUUGUAGACUGCCGCUUGAAAUUCACCAUCUCUUUGAGACCUCGUGGUCACAGACAAUCUGCUUUAAAUCUAGUUGGAGAUGAGUCUAUCUCGUAGGCACUAUUUUGUAUCCAGCCUGCUGAAAUUGCAAUGUUUUUUUGAAACUUCCCUCCCACUCUCCUGGUCAGAAGGUCCGGUUUGUGUCAGGCUAAAUCCGGAUGGGUGCUAUAUGGGUGAAUGCACUGUCUGGGAAACUAGAGCACGGAAGAAUGAAGUGGUGUCCUGGAAUGUUGUCAAAGGUUGGUUACUUGGGCAUCAAUCCAAGGGCUUUAAUGGAGAAUCAGACCCAACAGAUGGAAGCAAAAUGGGAGCCAGGGAAUCAGGGAAUGGUGGUAAUAGGACUAGUGGAACUGCCAAAUGAGAGACAACUAGGAGGAAUUGUGGAAGGGUUGGUGAGCAGACGGGCACUGCAGAUUUAUCCUGGGAUGGCUCAGACUCAUGAGGCAUGUGGAAUUUAGUUAAAGGGGAUGUAAUGAAAUGACCACUGACCUGACCUAAUAGGCAUAUCUAUUGCCAUAUCCUGCACUUUUGUGGCAAAUAGUCCUACUGUGAGGGAAGAGCAACAUCUCCCCAGUAAUUAUAAAAUUGUGAUUCAAAUAUUCUCUUUGUAACCUGCCAAUACUCUGAUAUUUGUUUCAUCUAAAUAGAGUUCUGUUAUUGACCUUUACCUAUGCUUAUUUCAAAUCUUUAGGGAAUACCUAUUUAGAUGAAUUUUUCCUCUAAGGCUAGAUUCUGAGUAAUUACUUAAUGAUCAUGCAACUAACAUGAGAAAUACUCUAAAAUAAUAAUUCUCAUGUUAGAAAAAAAGAAAUCGAGACUGCCUUAGGCAAGAACCCCUAAUAUUUCAUGGUUUUACUUUCUGAUGUUAUGAAUAACCAUGGAAAUUUUUGCUUGAAUAUUUUCCAUGUUUGGAAAAGGAGUUUCCAACUUCUUAGGAGGUAAAGUAGCACCUCUGCUUCAUAGCCAUUAGACUUUGGGGGAGGUAUUUGUUGAUAAGAAAAUUUUUUACUGAAAGAUCAUAUAUCUUGUGGCAACCUCUGUUCAGCUGGAAAUAUUACAAGGGUGUGUCCCUGGGGUGUGUGUUUGUGGGGGAGAAAGUUUGGCUGAAGGCUUUUCCCCAGCGAGCCAUCAUUUCAGGGACUAAUCUCUACCACUUCGGAGAGAAUAUUCUGCUUAUGUGGUCCCUGUUAUUUUGAAAAAAUGCCUCCGGGAGUCUCUGCUGCACCAGAGGAAGGAAGCUCUGAUACGACACCUUCAUUUAUUGUUUCGAACUUUGCUAAAAAGUACCAAAGCACGGCUGGGCGCGUUGGCUCACGCCUGUAACCCCAGCACUUUGGUAGGCUGAGGCGGGCAGAUCACGAGGUCAGGAGUUUGAGAUCAGCCUGGCUAACAUGGUGAAACCUGGUCUCUGCUAAAGAUAACAAAAAAUUAGCUGAGUGUGGUGGUGCGUGCCUGUAAUCCCAGCUACUCAGGAGGCUGAGGCAGGAGAAUUGCUUGAACCCAGGAGGCAGAGGUUGCAGUGAGUCGAGAUUACGCCACUGCACUCCAGCCUGGGUGACAGGGCGAGACUCUGUCCCAAACAAACAACAAAAACAACAACAACAACAACAACAACAAAAAUUACCAAAGCACAGCUUUUCAAAGCUCUCUCAUUCAGGAACCCAUUUCAUUGAAAUUAAAAAAUGUUCUGAGAUGCAGUUAAUGUGUGUUUGCCCUUGUAGGACCAACAUAAAUCUAAGUCUUUUAUGUGAAGAGAUUCAGGUCCUUAUAACUCACUUGGGGAAUAUGACAAAUGGGAUGGUGUGUGUGAAUGUUGUUUUGAUGGCUUAAGGGUGAUGAUCAUAUCUGGACACUUCUGAGAACUGUUGUUAUGGCUCAAUACCUUGCCUCCCUUCCUGUCAUUUUUAUCUAUUUUUAUAAACAAAUAAAAUAAUUAUUAAGAAAAAGGAACUUAAUGAAACCUUUCGUCUUAAAAUACAUUAUCCCAUAACUAAGAGUUAAUAGAAUGAAUCUAAUCAGUCAGUUUGAAAGAGAGCUAACAUCCCCUAUAAAGAUUAUGCUAUUGGACACUUACAUGGUGUUUACUUUGAGACUGGUGCUGGUUUGAGCACUUUACAUAUGUUUACUCAUCUAAUUUUUAUAACAGUCAUUGAAGUAGUUGCUCUUAUUAUUCUAAUUUCACAGAUGAGGGAACUGAGGCUUGGAGGAGUUAAGCAAGGUUGGUGGUUGCACACACACAGCUGACACCAACUCACGGAGUCUUACUCUAUAACCCUUUUAGGCAGUGUUAGAGGAACAAAAUUGUUAUUUGAUCACAAUGAGCUCAGGCCUUGAUACAGUUUUCUGGUUUGUGUAAAUCAACUCUGCAUUUUCUCUGCACAUUUAAAGUCAGACGAUCAACCUUGGACAGGUUGUCUGUUAAAAGCCACACCAAUGGGAAUCAUUAAAACAAAUGACAUUUAGGAGGAUUACAUUUACUGACUAAAUAUGCUUGGGCCUUAAUAGCGCCAGUUUUGUUUAGUUCCCAUCAACUUCUUGAUCACGUGGAUGUGCUUUUGUCAACCAUUUUUGCACUUAUUUUCCUCAGUGACUCUGAUGACCUCUUCUCUUCGUUAAUCAGCUUCUCAUAUUCUCAUGACCUUACCAGAGUGCUGAUGCUUGCAGCUGCAAUAACAGAAUGUGCUUCUAAAUUAUAAUUCUCCCAACCCUGGACUCUGAAUCUUCUCUUUUUCCUGUCAACAGUUGGUCCCCUCUACAAAGGCCCUGCUGUUUAUUCUUCACUGGCACAUGCCCUCUGCCACCUGAAAUCUGUUGCUGGCCUUCUCACACUCUCUUUUCUUCUUUUAACUUCAAGGUCUUUCUAAUUUGUCCUUUCUGCCUGUCCUUUGUUAUUACUUAUCACAUCUCUCCUGGUCACCUUCACCCCUUCUUUGUUUGGGCCUCCUUCUUUAUUUCUGGGUAUCUCUUUCUUUCUAUCAGACUCUGACCUUCUUCAUGUAUUAUAUUUAAGAACUAAUCUUCCACCUUUUCUUUUGUUAAAGUAAUUCUUAACCUUUUUUUAAAAUCCCAUUCACUAAAAUAAGCUCAUGAGUAUUAAUGUUUACAUUAGGCCUUCCCUUCUCUGUCCCUUCUCUUCAAAAUACCCAGCCUACUUAGAAGGGAGACAUUUCCAAUAUAAUAAAAACAAUAGCUAACAUUAUCUGUGCCAGAUGUAGAAGUCCACAAUAGUCUUUACGACUUUGUCACAAGCAUCAUUAUUAUCUUCACAUUACAGAUGAGAAAGCUGAGGACCAGAGAGGGAAAGUAACUUCCUCAAGUCACACAAGAUAGUUAAGUGGUGGAGCUAGGUUCUGAAUGUGGAUAUGGUGAUUCCAAAGUCUGUGAUCUUAACCCCUGCACUUUACUGCUCUUUAAAGAGAGUAAUCUGACUACAUAGCCUCUGUCAUUUCAUUGCAAUAAAUAUUUGAGUCUCUGCAUCACUUAAGUAGAUUGAUCAGUAUUGCCAAGUAUGGAAUUCUCUGCUUCUAAAAAAUGAAGAGGCCUCUCAGCCAGUUUAGUUUAUGAUAGUUUAUGUGCAAUAUAGUAACUUGUCCUUUAUUUUGAAGGAAAUGUCCCAAUGUGCCUGAGACCAGUGAACUCCAAAGAACUUCAUGGGUAUAGCAGGCUCUAAUAUCCUUAUAAUGUUUAUUUCCCUCACUCUGGGGAGUAUGUUUCUUAUUAAGACAUCUAGAGUACUUGCCACUUUUUACUCAUUGGGUCCAAUUUACAUGAUGUCAUCAAUAGAGUAUAUUCAUGUGAUUUUCUGCAGAGUGUACAGAUUGUUCAUGCCCCUUCAUAUUGUGAUAGAGGACAUAGUUCUGCCUCAAUAACGUUAAUAUUUACUUUAUUUACUUGUCCACAUCAAGUGAAUGCAAAGUGCUUCUGAUCUCCUUUCCUAAUGGAUAUUGACUAGAACACAUUUACUAAAUCAAUAGGCACGUGUGACAUCCCUGGGACUUCAUUCACAUGCUUUAGUAAAAACACCAGAUCUGGUACAGAAGCUGUAACUGGGACUAGUGCUGGUUAUGUUUGUGUUAGUCCACUGUCAUCUAUCAGGAUCCACCUGGUUUUUCCAAAAGCCAAACUAAUGAAUUAAAUGUGUAUAAACAGGGACCACCAUUUCUCAGUCCUUUAAGCCUUUAACUAUGGCAGUAGCCCAUUCUCCUCAGAUUUUUUUUGUAUUCACUACCUCAACUAAAUGGCUUCUGAUAUCAAACACUCAGAGAGUCUCUCUGUAUUUUAAUGGAAAAUUGCUUAAGUAUUAAAUUAAUAUUUAAAGACUGAGCAAAAGAUGUGAUAUUAAUCCAUUCUUUAAACAAAUUGUUUUUCUAUACCUAUUAAAGCCUAGUGAAGAAUUUUAAGAAUUAACCAUACUUAGAGGUGAGAGAUCAAUGAAAAACAUAAGAAGAUAUAAAGAGAGAUCAGGCAAAUGAAAAUAUGGUGAAGAGCUUUAAAAGUCAAGAGGAAGUCUGCAAGCAGCAUCCAGGAGUUGCUGGAGGGCCUUGAUAAGGAAAUAUAUUACCAUUACUACUACGAUUAUAGUAAUGUUUAACAUUAAUGAGCGCUUAUUAUGGGCUAGGCACUUUAUUUACAUUUUCUCAAUCUUUACUUAAUCCGAUAAAUUGAAUUCCAUUGCAGAUCUCAUUUUACAGCCAAGAAUACUGAAGUUAAGAAAUGUUAAGUAACUUACUCUAAUUUAAAUCUGGUUACUGGUGCUAAUGUGGUUCAAAUGCUCUAAAUUGAGAGCUAUUACCCCAUGCUCACCACAUCUCUAUUGGUAGUAGUGAUGUGUUCUGCUGGAGACUGUAGCAGUCUAAGUCUGUGGUGACUGGAGUGGGAGGGUAGGUCAUUAAACGGGGGAGGAAGAAAGAUGCAGGAAUACAUGUUAAUACAGCCCCUUGAAUGCCGGGGGUAUUAGGCAAUCAGCCUCCACCUGAAGAUUAUAAAUGAGGAGUGAAUAAUUUUAGCGUUGAACCUGCUGAAGAAGAUAAGGGCAUAAGAGGAAUUUGGUUACUAGAAUUCCCAUGUCCUACAAAGGGUUGUCAACAUAACAAUACUUUGUACACUUUGUAGAUAUGAUGCAAAGAAAUAAAAGGCAUUUAUGAGGAUAGCCUCUUGAGAAGGCAGAGAAGGCUUAUUACCAUCUCUUUUUUCUGUUAGAUAUAUUAUAAUCCCUCUGUUCCUUGCCCAAGCUACAAAUUAAUCAUCUAAUAGGGUUUUAACUUAACGUUUACUUGUUCAACAACAAUGUACCAUUUUUCUUUUGAAAUAGGGAUGGUUGAGGUGGUGUUUAAAUGCAAACACACUGGUUAAAAAUGUGGUUUUCACAUAAUAUCAACAUAUACUACUGUUUGCUUUUUUAAAAGUAAUUUUAAGAAGGCUACAUUAAAUAACAAUGGAAAUUAAAUAUAUUACCCACAAACACCAUACAAUACAUUGCUUAAUAUUUUACUUCCUCCCAGUUCUUGUUAAUAUGUACAUUAUUUCUACGUAAUUAUAAUCAAAGCAGAAAUAUAAUUUUGUUUUCUUUUUUCCAUCAUCCUAUGAGCAAUUUUCCAUAUAGCUAUUUAGUUUUUUAAAUUAACAUUUUAAUGGCUGUAUUAACUCCAUAGAGUUACUGUAGCAAAAUGCAUUUAACCAUUUUCAUAUUGAACAUUUAGUUUUUUCUAAUUUAAAAAAAUUUUUUAAUUUUGGUGGGUAUGUAGUAGGUGUAUAUAUUUAUAGGGUACAUGAGAUAUUUUGAUACAGGCAUGCAAUGCGUAAUAGUCACAUCAGGGUAAAUGGGGUAUCCAUUACCUCAAGCAUUUAGCCUUUGUGUUAGAAAUAAUCCAAUUAUACUCUUUUAGUUAUUUAAAAAUGUAUAGUUAAAUAAAUUAUUAUUGACUGUAGUCACCCUGUUGUGCUACCAAAUACUAGUUCUUAUUCAUUCUAACUAUUUUUUGUACCCAAUAACCACCCCACUUCCUCCCCACCCACUAAUACCCUUCCUAGCCUCUGGGAACGAUCCUUCCACUCUUUAUCUUCAUGAGUUCAAUUGUUUUAAUUUUUAGCUCCCACAAAUAAGUGAGAACAUGUGAGGUUUGUCUUUCUGUGCCUGGUUUAUUUAACUUAACAUAAUGGUCUCCAGUUCCAUCUAUGUUGUGACAAAUGACUGGCUCUCAUUCUUUUUAUGGCUGAAUAGCACUCCAUUGUGUAUAGGUACCAUAUUUUCUUUCUCCAUUCUUCUGUUGAUGGACACUUAAGUUGCUUCCAAAUCUUGGCAAUUGUGAACAGUGCUGCAGUGAACCUGGGAGUGCAGUUAUCUCUUCAUUAUACUGAUUUCUUUUCUUUGGGGGUAUAUAUCUAGCAGUGGGAUUGCUGGAUCAUAUAGUAGCUUUAUUUUUAAUUUUUUGAGGAACCUUCCAACUGUUCUCCAUAGUGGUUGUACUAAUGUACAUUCCCAUUAAUAGUGUCCAAGGGUUCCCUUUUCUCCACAUUCUCAUCAGCAUUUGUUAUUGCCAGUCUUUUGGAUAUAAGCCAUUUUAACUGAGGUGAGAUGAUAUCUCAUUUUAGUUUUGAUUUCCAUUUCUCUGAUGAUCGAUGAUGUUGAGCAUCUUUUCCUAUGCCUGUUUGUCAUUUGUAGGUCUUCUUUUGAGAUAUGUCUAUUCAGAUUUUUUGCCCAUUUUUUAAGUUGGAUUAUUAGAUUUUUUUCCAUAGAGUUUGAGCUCCUUAUAUAUUCUGGUUAUUAAUCCCUUGUCAUAUGGGUAGAUUGCAAAUAUUUUCUCCCAGUCUUUACUUUGUUGAUUGUAUCCUUUGCUGUGAAGAUUUUUUUUUCUUUCUUUUCUUUUUUUUUUUGAGACGGAGUCUCACUCUGCUGCCCAGGCUGGAGUGCAGUGGCGUGAUCUCGGCUCGCUGCAAGCUCC
rnacentral:lncRNA from 1 species